GUGCCAGCCGCCGCGGUAAUACCGGCAGCCCGAGUGAUGGCCGGUCUUCUUGGGCCUAAAGCGUCCGUAGCUGGGUCUGAAAGUCCAUCGGGAAAUCCACUCGCUCAACGAGGGGCCGUCCGGUGGAAACGCCACACCUUGGGACCGGAAGGCUCGAAGGGUACGGCCGGGGUAGGAGUGAAAUCCUGUAAUCCCGUCCGGACCACCGAUGGCGAAAGCACUUCGAGAAAACGGAUCCGACAGUGAGGGACGAAAGCGAAGAGCGCGAACCGGAUGAGAAACCCCGUAGUCC
rnacentral:rRNA from 1 species